CUUGGAAAGGACGUGGCCAAGUGUGUCGGCUAGUUACGCUCAUCUGAGAUGCCAGCGCUAUUGGGAAUUACAAGAACCAAGCAGAUCAAUUUGGGAAGACCCCCGUGCUGUCACGGGAAACCUUGGGGGAGACCUGCCCCAUCCUCUUGGAGCCUCUGGGGUCGUGAGGCCUACAGAUGCUCACAUCACCAGCCACUGUGGACCUGACUCAGUCCAUCAUUCCUCAGUGGGUGUCAUUCUAUGAAUUCAGUGUUUGCUGAUCACAGCAAAAUACUACUGGGAACACUUCUGUUGUGUUUAGGUUCUUGAUUUAAAAAGCGUUCAACCGGGGGCACCUGCGUGGCUCGGUCGGUUAAGCGUCUUGACUCUUGGUUUCGGCUCAGGUCAUGAUUUCACGGUUCGUGGAUUCGAGCCCUGCAUCAGGCUCUGAGUGGAGAGAGCACAGAGCAUGCUUGGGAUUGUCUCUCUCUCCCUCUCUCAAUCUCUCUCUCUCUCUGUCUCUCCCUGCCCCUCCCUCACUCUCUUGCAUGCUCUCUCUCUCUCAAAAAUAAACUUAAGAAGAUGCGUUCAACUGUAAGCUCUUACAUAUAAAGAUGUGCACACGUCACACGGUAAGAGUCCUGACUCAGGCCUUUAGACACUGCAAGUCAGAGUCUUUCAACGGAGAGCAGUCAGAAUGACACGUAGCCUCUUGGGGUGGCCUCAGCCUAUAGCAGGAAGACCUUGUAGUCCCAAAGGCGUGGGUUCAAAUGUCGGUUCAACUACUUUCUGGUGGUGGGAUCUUGGGUAUUUCUUAACUUAAAAAAUUCUUUUUAAUGUUUAUUUAUUUUUGAGAGAGAAAGAGAGAGCGUGAGCAGGGGAGGGGCAGAGAGAGGGAGAACACAGAACUGGAAGCAGGCUCCACGCUCUGAGCUGUCAGCACAGAGCCCGACAUGGGGCUUGAACUCACAAACCAUGAGAACGUGACCUGAGCCGAAGUCGGACACUUAACCUACUGAGCCACCCAGGCGCCCCUGUUUCUUAACUUUCUUGAGUGCCAGUUUCCUCACUGAAAAAUAGGAAUGAAACAUUCUGUAUAAUGCAAUAAACCAUUGAGAAAUUUAACACAGAAUUCCAUA